CCUACGGGUGGCAGCAGUGGGGAAUAUUGCACAAUGGGCGCAAGCCUGAUGCAGCCAUGCCGCGUGUGUGAAGAAGGCCUUUGGGUUGUAAAGCACUUUCAGCGGGGAGGAAGGCGGUGAGGUUAAUAACCUCAUCGAUUGACGUUACCCGCAGAAGAAGCACCGGCUAACUCCGUGCCAGCAGCCGCGGUAAUACGGAGGGUGCAAGCGUUAAUCGGAAUUACUGGGCGUAAAGCGCACGCAGGCGGUCUGUCAAGUCGGAUGUGAAAUCCCCGGGCUCAACCUGGGAACUGCAUUCGAAACUGGCAGGCUAGAGUCUUGUAGAGGGGGGUAGAAUUCCAGGUGUAGCGGUGAGAUGCGUAGAGAUCUGGAGGAAUACCGGUGGCGAAGGCGGCCCCCUGGACAAAGACUGACGCUCAGGUGCGAAAGCGUGGGGAGCAAACAGGAUUAGAUACCCCGGUAGUC
rnacentral:rRNA from 1 species